UACGUAGGGGGCAAGCGUUGUCCGGAAUCAUUGGGCGUAAAGCGCGUGUAGGCGCCAGAAAAGUCCGCUGUGAAAACUCGAGGCUCAACUUCGAGCUGUCGGUGGAAACUUUCUGGCUAGAGUCCGGAAGAGGAGAAUGGAAUUCCUGGUGUAGCGGUGAAAUGCGCAGAUAUCAGGAAGAACACCCGUGGCGAAGGCGGCUCACUGGACCGGCAUUGACGCUGAGGUGCGAAAGCGUGGGGAGCAAACAGG
rnacentral:rRNA from 1 species